rnacentral:misc_RNA from 1 species
UUUCCGUAGGUGAACCUGCGGAAGGAUCAUUGUCGAACCCUGCCCAGCAGAACGACCCGCGAACUUGUAUAAACAACCGGGGGCGGGGGGCGUUCUCGCCCCGUGCCCCCGAACGGCGGGGAGACACUCGUGCCUUCUUGCCGAACAACGAGCCCCGGCGCGGUCUGCGCCAAGGAACUUCAACUAAAGAGUGCCUCCGGUCGCCUCGGAAACGGCGUGCGUGCCGGGGGCGAAUCUUGUGCAAAACCAUAACGACUCUCGGCAACGGAUAUCUCGGCUCUC